AAAAUCGACCGUUUGAAACCCUCUACCAGUCACAACUUGCAGCGGUCUAAUCUCGCUCUGCACGCUGAAAGCCCUAGUCUUCGAUCUCCUUCUUCUUCUUCUUCUUCUUGGUUCUUGUUGUAAUGAAGUUCUAAAUGGGUACUACAAAACGCUCUCAUGUCGAUAACUUAUUUGACAGCCUGGUAAAAUUGCUCAUGGACCAGCAAGAACAGCUUAAAACUCUCGUUCAAGAGAGAAAAUUCCUUGAAGAUCGCAUCAAGGUACAACAUGAGCGAUGUCUCUCCGAAAUUCGUCUCUUCGAAGAUCAUAUCACUCAGAUGAAGGAGGCUUUGGCAGAGAAAGACAUGACUUGCAUGCUUAAGACCGUCAAAUCAGAUUUGAUGAUUGGAUUCAAGCACAGAGAGGCUUCUCUUUACAAAUUGAAAUUAGAGCAAACAGAAGAUGAAUUGGCUGAUUUCAAAGCAUGUUUUGACUACCUCUCUCACAUCCUUGAAAAAAAUUCCAAGGAAACUGACAAUGGAAAGGAAGGAGGUCGCCAUGGCGAUUUAAACUCUGCUGGUUCUAAAAGGUUGCAUGAUGAAGUAAGAAGGUUAAAGUUUGAAUAUGAGAAGCUUGCUUCUGAAAAGCAUUCUGAGAUAUCUGCAUUUUUGAAGGAGAAAAGUUUUGUAUGGCAUCAGUAUAAUGUUUUAGAGAGCAAUCUAGGCAAUAAAUUGAAGGGUAAGCAAGCUGAGAUUGACCAGGCAAAUGAGAAGAUUACAAAACUUCUUGCGAGUGUGGAGCUGCUUCAGUCUUCUAACAUUGAGAAGGAUGAAAUAAUUAGAGAACUGAAAGUUAGAUUGGCUGACGUGGAGGAUGAGAGAAAUAAAUUGAAGGAGGAAAUUCCCCGACUUUCCCAAGAGUUGGAAUCAUUGAGAAAGUCCAGAAGUGCUCAAGUUACAUCUGCACCAAAACAUGGCAGCACAGGAGCUAAAGCUUCCAGUCAGGGAGUCAAAAGCUGUGGCAGGAAAAGAAGUAACAUUGUUGUGAUGAAAGAAUUGUCUCCUGGAAAAGCUGUUCAUUCGUUGAAGGAUGCUGUGAAGGUACUUGAUAAUUAAAUAUUAUGCAGGGCUAAGUUUUAUUACAUUUGCAUGACUGAAACUGUGAGGAUUAAUGGGGAAAGAUCCUUGUAUUGUUGUCUAGACCAUCUAAGCGUAAAAAAGAGGGUAGCAGAAGUUUGAAGAGAAAGGGGGAUGAAAUUGUUACUAUUCUAGAGACUCCAAAAUUGUUCUCCUCUGCCUUCAAAAUUCCUAAAUUGAAGACCUUAUCUACUCCUGUCUCAUGACCCUACCGUACCCUUUUUUAACCACAAUUAAAACAGAGGGGGUAGCUUCUUCUAAGUGUAAUUGUUUAUUAAGCUUCUCUUGUAGCUCUGUAUUUUGCACUCUCCUGCAUUUGUUGUAAAGGAUGUAAUUGCCUUACCUCGUAGCCAUUAUUCUUUCAUCUAAUCUUAUUGUGCAAAAGUUAUCUGUGGCUUUUGUGGAUUGUGGUUCUCAAUGCGAAGAAUCUUUUGCAAAGAUUA